GACGAACGCUGGCGGCGUGCCUAAUACAUGCGAGUAGAACGCUGAAGGAGGAGCUUGCUUCUCCGGAUGAGUUGCGAACGGGUGAGUAACGCGUAGGUAACCUGCCUGGUAGCGGGGGAUAACUAUUGGAAACGAUAGCUAAUACCGCAUAAGAGUAGAUGUUGCAUGACAUUUGCUUAAAAGGUGCAAUUGCAUUACUACCAGAUGGACCUGCGUUGUAUUAGCUAGUUGGUGAGGUAACGGCUCACCAAGGCGACGAUACAUAGCCGACCUGAGAGGGUGAUCGGCCACACUGGGACUGAGACACGGCCCAGACUCCUACGGGAAGCAGCAGUAGGGAAUCUUCGGCAAUGGACGGAAGUCUGACCGAGCAACGCCGCGUGAGUGAAGAAGGUUUUCGGAUCGUAAAGCUCUGUUGUAAGAGAAGAACGAGUGUGAGAGUGGAAAGUUCACACUGUGACGGUAUCUUACCAGAAAGGGACGGCUAACUACGUG
rnacentral:rRNA from 1 species